GGUUCUAUGGUGUAAUCGGUUAGCAUCUCGGACUUUGAAUCCGGUGACCCGAGUUCGAGUCUCGGUAGAACCA
rnacentral:tRNA from 1 species